UUGUCUUCCACAUGGCUGACAGCUGAAUUCUGUUCAAAAAGGAUGAUUAAGGCUGCAAUAGAUCCUUUGCUGCUUUUCCAGCUAAAAAGAGAGGAGUGAGGACUACAAAGAGUUUCCAUAUUUCUUAAUCUAACUGUAAGUCCCAAAAUGCACAUUCAUGUCUCUUCCACAGAAUGGCAAGGAAAUUUUACAACAGCUACAAGCUCCUGGGUAGCAGAAUGGUCAUACAUGGAGACAGAACAAUGAAAACUGGGAAGAAUCUGGGAACAGCAACAGCAGAACCAGCAACCUAAUCCUUUUUUUUUUAAUUCCUUGUAAGG